rnacentral:tRNA from 1 species
GCGCUCGUAGCUCAACUGGAUAGAGCACCGGUCUUCGGAACCGGGGGUUGGGGGUUCGAAUCCCUCCGGGCGUA